AGCGAACGCUGGCGGCAGGCCUAACACAUGCAAGUCGAACGAACUCUUCGGAGUUAGUGGCGGACGGGUGAGUAACACGUGGGAACGUGCCUUUUGGUUCGGAAUAACUCAGGGAAACUUGUGCUAAUACCGAAUGUGCCCUUCGGGGGAAAGAUUUAUCGCCAUUAGAGCGGCCCGCGUCUGAUUAGCUAGUUGGUGAGGUAACGGCUCACCAAGGCGACGAUCAGUAGCUGGUCUGAGAGGAUGACCAGCCACACUGGGACUGAGACACGGCCCAGACUCCUACGGGAGGCAGCAGUGGGGAAUCUUGCGCAAUGGGCAAAAGCCUGACGCAGCCAUGCCGCGUGAAUGAUGAAGGUCUUAGGAUUGUAAAAUUCUUUCACCGGGGACGAUAAUGACGGUACCCGGAGAAGAAGCCCCGGCUAACUUCGUG
rnacentral:rRNA from 1 species